GUAGGAGUGCCAGAUAUUUUAUGGGUUGAUUUUAAGCGUUAAUUAAGGAUGUUUAUGUCCCUCUUAUU
rnacentral:tRNA from 1 species